rnacentral:rRNA from 1 species
CGUAGGGUGCAAGCGUUAAUCGGAAUUACUGGGCGUAAAGCGUGCGCAGGCGGCUUUGCAAGACAGAUGUGAAAUCCCCGGGCUCAACCUGGGAACUGCAUUUGUGACUGCAAGGCUAGAGUACGGUAGAGGGGGAUGGAAUUCCGCGUGUAGCAGUGAAAUGCGUAGAUAUGCGGAGGAACACCGAUGGCGAAGGCAAUCCCCUGGACCUGUACUGACGCUCAUGCACGAAAGCGUGGGGAGCAAACAGGAUUAGAUACCCUGGUAGUCCACGCCCUAAACGAUGUCAACUGGUUGUUGGACGGCUUGCUGUUCAGUAACGAAGCUAACGCGUGAAGUUGACCGCCUGGGGAGUACGGCCGCAAGGUUG